GAUGAACGCUGGCGGCGUGCCUAAUACAUGCAAGUCGAGCGAACGGACGAGAAGCUUGCUUCUCUGAUGUUAGCGACGGACGGGUGAGUAACACGUGGAUAACCUACCUAUAAGACUGGGAUAACUUCGGGAAACCGGAGCUAAUACCCGACGAUAUUUUGAACCGCAUGGUUCAAAAGUGAAAGACGGUCUUGCUGUCACUUAUAGAUGGAUCCGCGCUGCAUUAGCUAGUUGGUAAGGUAACGGCUUACCAAGGCAACGAUGCAUAGCCGACCUGAGAGGGUGAUCGGCCACACUGGAACUGAGACACGGUCCAGACUCCUACGGGAGGCAGCAGUAGGGAAUCUUCCGCAAUGGGCGAAAGCCUGACGGAGCAACGCCGCGUGAGUGAUGAAGGUCUUCGGAUCGUAAAACUCUGUUAUUAGGGAAGAACAUAUGUGUAAGUAACUGUGCACAUCUUGACGGUACCUAAUCAGAAAGCCACGGCUAACUACGUG
rnacentral:rRNA from 1 species